CCGGGAACUUUAAGGAUACUGCCAGUGACAAACUGGAGGAAGGCGGGACGACGUCAAGUCAUCAUGGCCCUUACGACCAGGGCGUACACACGUGCUACAAUGGUCGGUACAAAGGGUUGCUACCUAGCGAUAGGAUGCUAAUCUCAAAAAAGCCGAUCGUAGUCCGGAUUGUUCUCUGCAACUCGAGAACAUGAAGCUGGAAUCACUAGUAAUCGCAGAUCAGCUAUGCUGCGGUGAAUACGUUCCCGGGUCUU
rnacentral:rRNA from 1 species